rnacentral:rRNA from 1 species
UCUUAUAUUUUUAACUCUAAUUGUUGUUAAAUUCUUUAUUUUUUUUAUUUUUUUAUUAACGUUUUGUAAAAUGUUUGUUAAUUUUAUUAUUUUUUUGGAAUUUUAAAAAUUUGAUUGUCGAACUGGAUUAGUACCCAGGUAGUCAAAAUUUAUUAGUACGGGAGUAAAGUUUUGUUUAAACCGAAAAAAUAUUGACUGACUUUGGAUUUUUCUUUGGAACAUGUUUUGGAGAGUCCUCCUUGAUAAUUUUUCUUUUAGGUGCAUGUAUGAUUGUUUAGUUUUUAUAUUUAUUAUAAAGCUUUUUUUUUGUAAAACAGAUAUAUACUUGGCUAAUGGAGAAGUUUUUUAUGUGUUCACUCCUUUUGUAGAUUCGGAUAUAAGUUUAAUAUCUUAUCGAAGUUGGAACAAGAAAGUAAUGUCUUUCAUGCGUCAGAAUUAA